UGUCGGUAGUAGAUACAAGGUCUUAGGCUCCGUUUGGCAGAGCUUUUGGAAGGGCAGAAAGUUUCAAAAGUAUUUUUAGAUGAAAUAAAAGUAUUUGAUAAAAAAUUAAAAAGCUGUUUUAACUUUGUCAGAAAAUUAAAAUAGUUUUUUAGAAGAAACUAGUUUGGAGCUUCUUCGGAGAAAGAUAUAUCAUAGUUUAGUAUGGGAGGAGCAGGGCAUCCGAGUUCGUUAUGGCGUCGAUAACUCAGAGUGGGGGAGCACGCUAUGAAAGUUAUGUGCUCAGUGUUGGGUGACUAAGGAUUACUUAUUGUUGGCACGAGUGGAUUGGUGCCCAUAAAGGGUGAAGAUCCAUCAGCUUGGGGCAGAGGAGUCAUGGGUGAAGAGUGUUCAUGAAUGCUAAAGCACUCGGGAUGCAUACAGAGUUGCAAGGCAAGCAU
rnacentral:lncRNA from 1 species